rnacentral:lncRNA from 1 species
UAUCAAAAUGUAGCAAAUCAGUUCUAGUUUUUAGAAACGUUUCGACAACCAAUCCUUCCUUAAUUUUAAACCACUCAAGAAACGUUCACUAAUUGGUUCUCAUUGACGUUCACUAAUUGGUUCUCAUUGAUCAAAUAACUCUAGAAACGUCCCUGGAAUUUAAUAUGUCAAUGUCCUUAGAAACUAGAAACACCUGAUUCAGAUUGUCGGAUUCAUCUACAUGAACCAGUCAACCAAAUUAUUUGUUCUCUUAGUCCGAAACUAAUCGCCACUAGGUACUAUUUUGAGCUACCUCGGAUGGCUGUAUG